GACGAACGCUGGCGGCGUGCUUAACACAUGCAAGUCGAACGGUAAGGCCCUUCGGGGUACACGAGUGGCGAACGGGUGAGUAACACGUGGGUGAUCUGCCCUGCACUUUGGGAUAAGCCUGGGAAACGGGGUCUAAUACCGGAUAGGACCACGGCCUGCAUGGGUUGUGGUGGAAAGCUUUUGCGGUGUGGGAUGGGCCCGCGGCCUAUCAGCUUGUUGGUGGGGUGAUGGCCUACCAAGGCGACGACGGGUAGCCGGCCUGAGAGGGUGUCCGGCCACACUGGGACUGAGAUACGGCCCAGACUCCUACGGGAGGCAGCAGUGGGGAAUAUUGCACAAUGGGCGCAAGCCUGAUGCAGCGACGCCGCGUGGGGGAUGACGGCCUUCGGGUUGUAAACCUCUUUCACCAGGGACGAAGCGCAAGUGACGGUACCUGGAGAAGAAGCACCGGCCAACUACAUGCCAGCCGCCGCCGUAA
rnacentral:rRNA from 1 species